GGAACAUCAAAGCAACCAUCACAGCCUUGCGCCCAGGUGGGGUGCCUUCCUCUGAAGCCUUCCGUGACUACAGAGACACCAUCAAGAAGAGUAAAUGACCCCUUUUGUAAUGGUCAUUCCUGGUUGUCAACUUGAUUAUAUCUGGAAUGAACUACAGUCCAGAAUCGGAGGGCUCACCUGCGAGAUCUCUGAGUCAACCUGGGACAAAGCAAGUCCCAGGUCAAGAUGUGGUGGUACACGUCUGGGCCACAUCUUCUGCUGGAGGCCUACAUAAGGACAUUGGAAGAAGGAAGACUCACUCUUAUUCACCUGCUUGCUCUUACUUGCCAGGACAUCUGUUGGAACCUACUUACUCAGGAUUCCAGCCUCUACAGAAGACCAGCUGAAACAACUAGCCUCGUGGGACUGAGCAACUACUAGAUUCUUGGACUUCCCGUCCACAGCUGCCCAUUGUUGGGGAGUUGUCCUGCAGCACAUCUGUUGGAACAUCUGUGGGAAAUGUUCGUGGGACAUUUACAUCUACAUGUAUACUCUUACACACGUGCACAAACGUGAACAUGUACACACACAUACAUAUCACACACAUGUGUGAAAAUGCUUAUGUACACAGGAAGAAAGAAAGUAACAAAGAAAGAAAGAAAAAGAAAAUGAGUUGGUAACUGGGGGACCCCAGGGUGAAUUUCCCACAAAAGGAGUCCAGCCUCCAGGUGAGAUACUGAGCAAAUGCUUGGACAACCCCACUGUGUAAACCACACAGCCAGCAGCCCCUCAUCUGUGGGGUACUUUUUGAGCCUAAAAUAAAAGAAAUAUCUAGAAUAGUCUCAAGGGUAAAGGGCUAUGGCUUAUGACUCCAGGUAACCUCAAGCAUGAUGCUGGACACCAUGCACCAAUUAACGAGCCCUGGUUGAUAGAUUUAUUAUGGGAAGACGAGUAAGACAAAGCAACGUUUGAGUGCUGCCAAGCCACACUUGGAUAGAGCCCACAAACAAUAAAAUUCUUCAUAACUUC
rnacentral:lncRNA from 1 species